rnacentral:rRNA from 1 species
UAAACUACGAUUAGAUACCCUAUUAUUUUAAAUGUGAAUUGUUAAUACUUGAGUAGUAAUAGUUAUAUUCUUGAAACUCAAAGAAUUUGGCGGUGUUUUAGGCCUUUUAGAGGAACCUGUCCCGUAAUCGAUAUUCCACGUUUGACCCGAUUUAGUUUUGUUUAUCAGCUUGUAUACCGCCGUCGUCAGAAUGUCCUUAGAGGGUUAAAAUUUUCUUAAAUUUUUAUUAAAAAUGAUGUCAGGUCAAGGUGCAGUUUAUGACUAAGGGGAGAUGGGUUACAAUAAAUUUAUUUAUAAUGGAUUAUGUCUUGAAAUAGGUGUAUGAAAGUGGAUUUGAUGGUAAUUGAAUAGAGUUAUUUAAUUUGAUUUUGGCUCUGAAACAUGCACACAUCGCCCGUCGCUCUUA